rnacentral:tRNA from 1 species
GCUGGAUUGGUGGAAUUGGCGAGACACAAGGGACUCAAAAUCCCUUGGAUUAAAUUCCGUACCGGUUCAAAUCCGGUAUCCAGCA